UACGAAGGGGGCUAGCGUUGCUCGGAAUUACUGGGCGUAAAGGGCGCGUAGGCGGAUAGUUUAGUCAGAGGUGAAAGCCCAGGGCUCAACCCUGGAAUUGCCUUUGAUACUGGCUAUCUUGAGUUCGGGAGAGGUGAGUGGAACUCCGAGUGUAGAGGUGAAAUUCGUAGAUAUUCGGAAGAACACCAAUGGCGAAGGCAGCACUCUGGGACGUGACUGACGCUGAGACGCGAAAGCGUGGGGAGCAAACAGG
rnacentral:rRNA from 1 species